rnacentral:rRNA from 1 species
GUCUUGUAAUUGGAAUGAUGGGAAUCUAAACCCUUCCCAGAGUAUCAAUUGGAGGGCAAGUCUGGUGCCAGCAGCCGCGGUAAUUCCAGCUCCAAUAGCGUAUAUUAAAGUUGUUGCAGUUAAGAAGCUCGUAGUUGAAUUUCUGCCUUAUCAUUAAUUUCGCUUCCGAACGUAAUUUUAUUGAUUUGGCAUCUUCUGGAUUUAUAUUUUUAUUAAUAUUUUUCCAGUAUUUACUUUGAGAAAACUAGAGUGUUUCAAACAGGCUAUUGCCUUGAAUACUACAGCAUGGAAUAAUGAAGUAGGACUUUGGUUCUAUUUUGUUGGUUAUCGAACCAUAGUAAUGGUUAAUAGGAGCAGUUGGGGGCAUUCGUAUUUAACUGUCAGAGGUGAAAUUCUUAGAUUUGUUAAAGACGAACUACUGCGAAAGCAUUUGCCAAGGAUGUUUUCAUUAAUCAAGAACGAAAGUUAGGGGAUCGAAGACGAUCAGAUACCGUCGUAGUCCU